rnacentral:rRNA from 1 species
UCCGUUGUAGCAAUACGAUGGAAAGUCUAGUGGCGAACGGGUGCUUAACACGUGGGCAACCUGCCAGGAAGUGGGGGAUAGCUCGCCGAAAGGCGAAUUAAUACCGCAUGUGAUUAGAGAGGACAUCCUUUCGAAAUUAAAGUCGGGGCAACCUGACGCUUCUUGUGGGGCCCGCGGCCUAUCAGCUAGUUGGUGGGGUAACGGCUCACCAAGGCUUUGACGGGUAGCUGGUCUGAGAGGACGACCAGCCACACUGGGACUGAGACACGGCCCAGACACCUACGGGUGGCAGCAGUCGAGAAUUUUUGACAAUGGGGGAAACCCUGAUCGAGCGACGCCGCGUGGAGGAUGAAGGUCUUCGGAUUGUAAACUCCUGUCAUUGGGGAACAAUGCGUGACGGUUAACUGCCGUUGCGUUGAUAGUACCCGAAGAGGAAGAGACGGCUAACUCUGUGCCAGCAGCCGCGGUAAUACAGAGGUCUCAAGCGUUGUUCGGAUUCAUUGGGCGUAAAGGGUGCGUAGGCGGCGCGGUAAGUCGGGUGUGAAAUCUCGGAGCUUAACUCCGAAACUGCAUUCGAUACUGCCGUGCUUGAGGACUGGAGAGGAGACUGGAAUUCACGGUGUAGCA